AGAGUUUGAUCAUGGCUCAGGACGAACGCUGGCGGCGUGCUUAACACAUGCAAGUCGAACGGUAAGGCCCUUCGGGGUACACGAGUGGCGAACGGGUGAGUAACACGUGGGUGAUCUGCCCUGCACUUUGGGAUAAGCCUGGGAAACUGGGUCUAAUACCGAAUACAUCUUGCUGGCUGCAUGGCCUGGUGGGGGAAAGCUUUUGCGGUGUGGGAUGGGCCCGCGGCCUAUCAGCUUGUUGGUGGGGUGAUGGCCUACCAAGGCGACGACGGGUAGCCGGCCUGAGAGGGUGUCCGGCCACACUGGGACUGAGAUACGGCCCAGACUCCUACGGGAGGCAGCAGUGGGGAAUAUUGCACAAUGGGCGCAAGCCUGAUGCAGCGACGCCGCGUGGGGGAUGACGGCCUUCGGGUUGUAAACCUCUUUCAGUACAGACGAAGCGUAAGUGACGGUAUGUACAGAAGAAGCACCGGCCAACUACGUGCCAGCAGCCGCGGUA
rnacentral:rRNA from 1 species